UGAAAGGGGUCGGGACAUAGCUGAGCAGUUAAGAGUGCCUGCUGCUCUUCCCAAGGACUGCACUUCAGUAUCUAGCACCUGUGUCCCUUGGGGAACUUAACCACCUGUACCAACUCCAGGGGAUCUGUCGCCCUCUUCUGGCUUCUGUGGGCAUCUGCAUGCACUUGCAUCCUGCCCCACUCCAUUUCAAUAAAAAUAAAUUCUUUUAUAAAGUUAAAUCUUGUAGCUCAGCACUGCUAAAUUCAGUAUUAAUGGUGGGUUGACAUGCACUUGAAAUACAGUCUUCUAUGACUGAAGACCAUUCUGAGGAUGGAACACACGACAUAUGCUAGGAAAUUGCCCUGUCACUAAGCUACAACCCAGUCCUGAAUUUUUAGUAGAUUGUCUCCUGUGUUUAUUGUUUAUAGACCAGUGCACUCAUAGAUUAUAGGAUUUGUACAAAUAGGACUGCCUUGCCCUUCUGCUUCAGUGUCCAGAUUUCUAGUUUUCUACAUAUUAGUGUUUUGAAAUGAACAGGCUAAGGUAGUUUUCUAAAUAAAGAUAUAUUUGAUGCGUGGUUUUCACAACUAACCAUUUCCUACUUUGAUGAUUUUUCUAAGCCUCCUUAAGUGAUUUAUGCUCACAACUCACCAUUCUCCUCUUCAGUAGUUUUCCUGGUGGCAUUUCCUGUUGAAGCAAUGAGAAUAUUUAGCUACCAAAAUGUUGUAAUUAUAAGCUUCCUCUUGUUGACUGAGCUUGUGGACAGAAGUACAGAACAAUAGAAAUAGGGCAGAAAAGUACAUAAUUAUAUUCUGUGUUGUUGAAUGAAAAAAAGGCUGUGUGGUAACUUCAAAUGUUGUCUUCUUUACAUUUUAUUGUGCCACUUAAAAUUGAGAGUGGACUCAAGUGUCUUGUGGAACUAGAAACUUUAAAAUUUUAAUUUAGUAUAGAAUUCUUUAUCUAAGAAUGAUUUAGCCCUAGUCUAUGUAAGAAAAUAGACCUAGCCAGGUGUUGUGCGUACCUUUAGUCCCAGCACUAGGAAGGUAGAGGCCGGCAGAUCUCUUUGAGUUCCAGGACAGCCUGGGCAUAUAGUGAGUUCCAGGACAGCCAUGGUUACACAUAGAAACCCUGCCUCAAAUACAAACACACAUACACAAACUGAGACCUGUUCAGAACAUUCCAUUUCACUAAUAAUUCAUUUUUCUAUUCACAACAUACAUAAUUUAAAAGCAAUGUAAAGAGCCACUAUGUAAAAAUUCAACUAUUUUUCUCUCCUUUUUGUUAAUUGUAACUUGGUUUUCUUUGUCAGAAUAAUAAAAUCAGCCUGCCUUUAGUUUGUAGAUUUGGAAACUGCAACCAGUCCUUGGUGUAAAGAAGCAACUUUGGAACAUCGCCUGUAAUCAAAUAGUGUGGGGCGUGUCAAGGUCACUACUCUUCUCUCCUAAGUGACUGGGAGUACUCAGAUUUACUCGGUGCCCAUUUGAGGAGGGACUCAGUGUAUCUUAACUAGAAUGACGUAUAUAAUUAUUCUUCCCUUAAAAACUGGGCAAAAUGAAGCCCAGGGGAUGUAAACUGCUCGUGAGAUUGCACAGGUAGUAAACCGGGGCACCGUUUCCAACCCAAGUGUCAGAGAUUGCAAAUUGUGUGGACUUUCCCCUGAGUUGGCCUGCCUGAAUUGAGAACAUCCAGAUGAGUGAUUCCAUCUAGAUGAAAUCAUCUGCACUGCAGAAAGUAUCCAGGUGGUUUGCAUAAGUAGCUGUAUCUGUUAGAAUCUAAGGAGGUUAAUGACCUAUAAAGACGGGCACCUUUUCAUGUAUGUAAAGUCCUCUCACUGAGGGACCCAAUGGAGGACGUGAUCCUGGUGUGAACUAGGAAUGCUGUUCACAGUAGAGACUACAUCAUAAUAGUGUACUUAGGAAAAUCAGCAAAAAUUAAUACUGCUUUGUACAUACAGCUUUUUAAACUGUCCGGAGUAAAAGUAUUUCAUAUAAUAUGGGAAAAUGCUUUGAGCUUUCUAAAGUUCAAAAAAGCUCUAAAGCUAUGCUACCAAUGAAACAAAGUGUCUUGUAUUUGAAGUGGGGAAGGAGGCUGUCUAAACAUUACUUAACAGCUCUCCUUACAGAAGCCCCUAGGUAGGUAUCUAUUUGAGUAAAUGUGGCCUGUUAUUUGCAGUUUUUAAAUGAACCUGUUGAUAUUUGACUCCUACUUUCCGGGGUGGGGGGUUAUUGGGUACUCCUUUAAAGUGCCAGGAUAUAGGAUCUGCUCUAACUAAAAAUAAAUUG
rnacentral:lncRNA from 1 species